GACGAACGCUGGCGGCGUGCUUAACACAUGCAAGUCGAACGAUGAAGCCGGAGCUUGCUCCGGUGGAUUAGUGGCGAACGGGUGAGUAACACGUGAGUAACCUGCCCUUGACUCUGGGAUAACUGCGGGAAACUGUAGCUAAUACCGGAUACGACCCUCGGCGGCAUCGCCAGGGGGUGGAAAGAAUUUCGGUCAAGGAUGGACUCGCGGCCUAUCAGCUAGUUGGUGAGGUAACGGCUCACCAAGGCGACGACGGGUAGCCGGCCUGAGAGGGUGACCGGCCACAGUGGGACUGAGACACGGGCCAGACUCCUACGGGAGGCAGCAGUGGGGAAUAUUGCACAAUGGGCGCAAGCCUGAUGCAGCAACGCCGCGUGAGGGAUGACGGCCUUCGGGUUGUAAACCUCUUUUAGUAGGGAAGAAGCGAAAGUGACGGUACCUGCAGAAAAGGCACCGGCUAACUACGUGCCAGCCGCCGCGGUAA
rnacentral:rRNA from 1 species